GGUGAGGUGUCCGAGUGGCUGAAGGAGCACGCCUGGAAAGUGUGUAAACGUUUAUAGCGUUUCGAGGGUUCGAAUCCCUCUCUCACCG
rnacentral:tRNA from 1 species